rnacentral:rRNA from 1 species
UACGUAGGGUGCGAGCGUUGUCCGGAAUUAUUGGGCGUAAAGAGCUUGUAGGCGGUUUGUCGCGUCUGCUGUGAAAAUCCGGGGCUCAACCCCGGACUUGCAGUGGGUACGGGCAGACUAGAGUGUGGUAGGGGAGACUGGAAGUUCCUGGUGUAGCGGUGAAAUGCGCAGAUAUCAGGAGGAACACCGAUGGCGAAGGCAGGUCUCUGGGCCACUACUGACGCUGAGACACGAAAGCGUGGGUAGCAAACAGG